UGGGCGGUAUCCUGAUAGAACUGCACCGAAUAUUUUUUAAAACCUGAUAUGAUAUCUGCCUAGAUCCAAGAAAUGGACCGGGACAGAGGG
rnacentral:ncRNA from 1 species